UCUAUGCCUUUGUUUCUCUCUAUUUCACUGAUUCUCUCUUUUCUUAAUUAAAAUUGUGUUGAAUCUGUUGUAAAAUUAAUGAUGAUAAAUUGAUCAAUUAAGAGUUGGUUUCCUCUGUAAAUUCUUUCGGAUUACAUUUUUCUGCUUGAUCACGUGUGACCGUGUGAUACUUUUUCCUGGAACUUUCUUAUCAGGACCCUGUUGGUAGGUGAUUGUAGAUUCCUACACGAGUCAUGGACAAUGGGAGAGAGAACUUUAACAGAAGAAGUAUCUGCACUUCUACCAUUAUUUUGUGUUGGAUUCAGUGCUGCUGAUGGUGUGCUUGAUGCUUAUUCUUUGUGUUGAUUGCUGCUGUUCUUCAUAUUCAUUAUCAAUAACACUUCAAAUCACAAUGAUCAGUUAAAGGAGCGGCAAUGUGGAUUCAGUUGCUUCAUGUGCUAUUAAAUGAAACGUUUUAAGCCUGAGAAUGGGGCUUUAUUAUCGAAGGAUGAGACUAUUUCUGUGAACUUGUGCAUGUUGCUCCUGACAGGGGAGAUCAUGUUGUACGUUUUCCUAAAAGGAGAUGGUAAACCUUAAGGUGUAAUGCAGGUUUGCAACAAUUUAAGGAUGCAAAAUGACGGGGAUUCACUGGCAGGUUUCACCGAUAAGCUGCCAAGGUGUGGAAAGACUAGUACACCUGCCAUCCUCCGCUAAAGAAGUUGUGUAUGUUUCUAAUUAUAGU